rnacentral:rRNA from 1 species
UGGUCAAGUUAUUAAGGGUGUAGGGCGGAUGCCUUGGCACUAGGAGCCGAUGAAGGACGUGAUAAGCUGCGAUAAGCUUCGGGGAGUUGCACGUAAACUUUGAUCCGAAGAUUUCCGAAUGAGGAAACUCACUUAGAGUAAUGUCUAAGUAUCAUUAAGUGAAUACAUAGCUUAAUGAGGGGGAACUCAGGGAACUGAAACAUCUAAGUACCUGAAGGAAGAGAAAGAAAUUCGAUUCCGUAAGUAGCGGCGAGCGAACGCGGAUUAGCCCAAACCAAUAAAGUUUUCUUUAUUGGGGUUGCGGACAUAUCAUAACGAAGAGGUAUCGUAAUUGAAGAGGUUUGGAAAGACCCACCACAGAAGGUAAUAGUCCUGUAUGUUAAACGAGAAGACUUCAGAUAUGAUCCAGAGUACCACGGGACACGUGAAACCCUGUGGGAAGCAGGAGGGACCACCCUCCAAGGCUAAAUACUACCUAGUGACCGAUAGCGUAUAGUACCGUGAGGGAAAGGGUGAAAAGAACCCCGGGAGGGGAGUGAAAUAGAACCUGAAACCCUGCACUUACAAGCUGUGGAAGCACAUUUCUUGUGUGACCGCGUACUUUUUGUAGAACGGGCCAACGAGUUACGUUAAGUAGCAAGGUUAAGCACUUAAGGUGCGGAGCCGUAGCGAAAGCGAGUUUUAACUGAGCGUUCAGUUACUUGACGUAGACCCGAAACCGGGCGACCUACCCAUGAGCAGGAUGAAGCGAAAGUAAAAUUUCGUGG